GGGGGGAGUCGGAUCCUGGGCUGUGUCCCCGGUGCCCUGUGCUGCUGGGCCUGCGCCGUUGAAUGUGUGCUCAAGACCGGGCAGCCCCCU
rnacentral:pre_miRNA from 1 species